CAGCAUGGUGAAGAUAUUUUCUAAUAAGGUCCUUUAAUCUCUCCCAUGUUUCAUGAAACAUUUCUUCAUCUAAUUGAGAAAAAUUAGUUAUGGCUUUUCUUAUUUG